GCAAUGGAGAGCAUGAUACCGGCUCAGAGCGAACGCUGGCGGCGUGGAUGAGAUCAUGCAAGUUGAACGAGCCUAUCGGAGCUUGCUCCGUGACGGCUAGUAGCGAACGGGUGAGUAACGCGUGAGCAACCUACCCUAAGGCUGGGAAUAAUGUCGGGAAACUGACGCUAAUACCGAAUGUGGUUGCUUUCCUGCAUGGGGAAGCAUCUAAAGGGUUUACCGUCUUAGGAUGGGCUCGCGUCCUAUUAGCUUGUUGGUGAGGUAACGGCUCACCAAGGCAACGAUGGGUAGCCGGUCUGAGAGGAUGUUCGGCCACAUUGGGACUGAGACACUGCCCAGACGCUUACGGGCGGCUGCAGUCGAGAAUAUUUGGCAAUGGGGGCAACCCUGACCAUGCGACGCCGCGUGGAGGAUGAAGGCUUUCGAGUUGUAAACUCCUGUGGCAGGGGAAGAAACCUGGGACUUUGGUUUCAGCUGACGGUACCCUGCUAGAAAGCGCCAGCUAACUACGUGCCAGCAGCUGCGGUAAGACGUAGGGCGCAAGCGUUGCUCGGAUUUACUGGGCGUAAAGGGCGUCUAGGCGGCCCUUCAAGUCGCGCGUGAAAUUUCUACGGCUUAACCGAGAAACGGCGCGCGAUACUGUUGGGCUUGAAUGCGGUAGAGGAAAGUGGAAUUCAAGGUGGAGCGGUGGAAUGCUCAGAGAUCUUGGAGAACACCAAUGGCGAAGGCAGCUUUCUGGGCCAGCAUUGACGCUGAAGCGCGAAAGAUUGGGUAGCAAACAGGAUUAGAUACCCUGGUAGUCCUUUCUGUAAACGAUGGGUGUUAAGUGUGGGGAACAUCGGAUUCCCUGUGCUGCCGCUAACGCAUUAAACACCCCGCCUGGGGAGUACGGUCGCAAGGCUAAAACUCAAGGUAAUUGACGGGGCCCCGCACAAGCGGUGGAGCAUGUCGGUCAAUUCGAUGCUACGCGAAGAACCUUACCAGGGAUUGACAUCGUUCGGCCCGCCCUCGAAAGAGGGUUUUCCCUUCGGGGACUGAAUGACAGGUACUGCAUGGCUGUCGUCAGCUCGUGUCGUGAGAUGUUGGGUUAAGUCCCGCAACGAGCGCAACCCUUGCUCUUAGUUGCCAGCGGAUAAUGCCGGGGACUCUAAGAGGACUGCCAGUGACAAACUGGAGGAAGGUGAGGAUGACGUCAAGUCCGCAUGGUCUAUAUUCCUGGGCUGCACACGUGCUACAAUGGUCGGUACAAAGGGUCGCCAAGCCGCGAGGUGGAGCCAAUCCCAAAAAGCCGGCCCUCAGUUCGGAUUGCAGUCUGCAACUCGACUGCAUGAAGUUGGAAUCGCUAGUAAUCGCGGAACAGCAUGCCGCGGUGAAUACGUUCCCGGGGCUUGUACACACUGCCCGUCAAGCGAGGAAAGUCGGGAGCAUCCGAAGUCGGCGAGCCAACCCUCUGGGAGGCAGCCGCCUAAGGUGAGUUCGGCAAUCAACGCUAAGUCGUAACAAGGUAGCCGUACCGGAAGGUGCGGCUGGACUACCUCCUUU
rnacentral:rRNA from 1 species